CACGUGAGGAAAGAAUGCGUUUUACUUCACAAAAUUCAGACGCAGGUGAUCAGAUCACCUAUGCUGAGGUGAAAGUGAAAUGGAAAUCUGACAACACCAACAAUACAUCCACGUCUACACAUACAAGUAAGUCAGAACAGGAAGGCUCUGCUUUUCAACAAAACAAGACAUGAAGUUUGUUUAUUUUUACAUUAUCUUCUCUGAACAGACUUCUAUGAAAGAAGACAUGCUGCCAGACUGAUCACUCUUCAGUUACUUCUUCCAGGAUUUUCAUUAAAUGCCUCCAUAUGUGGACAAAAUAUAUUAUAUAUUAUUAAUAUAAUAAUGCCGGCAAGCAUCUCACUAUAUCAGUGCAUGUAACAAGGCGCAGACUCAAGCUGCUGCAUCAAAUGUUGGAUCUGGGUCUUCUGUAGACAACGCAAAUGACCAGGUAGACUCAUUUGGAACAUCACUUUUAUUUCACACCUGACUUGAUUUUGCCAUAAUUUGCAUGUAGAUAAGCUUUUAGAUUUCAAUAUGCUGAAGUGCAAAAAUGUAUGGAUAAAACAAAGAAUGCAAAUGGUUGCACUAAACUUAUUUUUUUUUCCAAGUCUAGACCUACAUGUGUUUUUUCUUCCUCUGACAGCCUUCUGGUGGGAUUUAUUAAAGGUGCAAGGAACUUAAAUGUUUAGCAGAGAAGUCUCAGUCUCAUUCCCCCACUGGCUUGAGUAAAAUUAUUCUGUUCUGCUUGUCCAGAGGAGUAUCUCACCGAUUUACAAUAUGUUGUUUCUGUCUUGGAGCAGCAAUUCAUUUUUGUUUUGUUUUGAUUUUUUUCUUCCCCAAAUGCUGUAGCUUCAGUUAAAUCAGAACCCUCCACUGGAACUAAACCACUUCAGGUUUAAAUGUGUUUGUUUGAAAUUAUUAUUUUGGUGUCUGUUUUUACAUUAUUUUGAAUUUUCAUCGGUUCUGUUAUAAUUCCUCUGAACAGGCUGAUAGCAAUGAUUUGCAGUCCCGGAGUAGGAGGGACUAUACAGUGUAUCGAAUACUUGUAGAAUUGUUCCCUGUGUCUAAGCUUAUCUGUACUUAGGCAAUGUUGUUGCUGUUGAUAAGGCACCAUGUUUUUAUAAUAUAUUCACCAGAAAUCAAUAAAGAUUUAGUAAAGCACUUAGCA
rnacentral:lncRNA from 1 species